rnacentral:misc_RNA from 1 species
GUGAAUCAUCAAAUUUUUGAACGCAUAUUGCACUAUCUGGUAUUCCGGAGAGUAUGCCUAUUUGAGGGUCAUUUGAAAUAAUAUAAAUUUCGAGAUUUUCUUGAAAUCAAAAAUGGGUCGGUCCAGCUUUCGUGUGGUGGUGGCUUAAAAUGCAGGACAAGCUCUUUUUUUGGGUUGGGUGUUACUUUAGGUUACCUCU